rnacentral:rRNA from 1 species
CAGCCGUUGGGUGCCUAGCGCAUUUUGUGGCGAAGUUAACGCGAUAAGUCGACCGCCUGGGGAGUACGGCCGCAAGGUUAAAACUCAAAUGAAUUGACGGGGGCCCGCACAAGCGGUGGAGCAUGUGGUUUAAUUCGAUGCAACGCGAAGAACCUUACCUACCCUUGACAUCUACAGAAGCCGGAAGAGAUUCUGGUGUGCCUUCGGGAACUGUAAGACAGGUGCUGCAUGGCUGUCGUCAGCUCGUGUUGUGAAAUGUUGGGUUAAGUCCCGUAACGAGCGCAACCCUUGUCCUUAUUUGCCAGCGAGUAAUGUCGGGAACUCUAAGGAGACUGCCGGUGACAAACCGGAGGAAGGUGGGGACGACGUCAAGUCAUCAUGGCCCUUACGGGUAGGGCUACACACGUGCUACAAUGGCCGGUACAAAGGGCUGCGAGCUCGCGAGAGUCAGCGAAUCCCUUAAAGCCGGUCUCAGUCCGGAUCGGAGUCUGCAACUCGACUCCGUGAAGUCGGGAUU